ensembl:lncRNA
AGUGGUACACCCCAUUGUACCCAGUGUUCUGGGAGUAGGCAGUACAAGGGCUGCUGGCUCAGUGAAUCGUUCAGAUUUUUCAGAUCUUGGUUCCACUUGAAUAUGUAUUCCAGGGCUGGUCUGCUUUGGCUCUGUCUGUCCAGUGACCAAAUAGCCUGAAGUCAAGACAGGCUGUCUGUGGAAGAAGUUUUGUGUAGCUCCAGAAAGCAGCCGGAUCCCAACUCUUCCAGCAUCAGACAUCAGCAGAUGCCUCUUUGUGCCAACCACCUGAAUGCCCUGGGGCAGGACACAGUCAAGGGAUAUGGGGAACAGUUCUGUCACUUGGUUCAGUGCUCUGACACUGGUGCCAUCCGGUGAGCCCUCCCUACUGGCACUGUUAUUCACUAGAAGUACCACCAGCCUCAGCAGCUUCCAUGCUAAAUGUGUAUCUGCCUUUGCUGCAUGAAGAUGCCUACCUCAGCAUGCGGAUGGAAGAGAUCCAGCUUCAUUUCUCUUCUCUGAGGGAAAAGUAGCUGCAGCGUUACUACCAAGCGUAGUGACAUCAGUGCCUGGGUCAACCUGGGGCUUGAGAAAAAGACUUGGAAUGUUUUUUCUUGAGUGUUUGGG